rnacentral:rRNA from 1 species
AGUUUAGGGAAAAUAUACUAAAUUAAUUCUGCCCAGUGUAUAAAAAUAAAUGGCCGCAGUACCCUGACUGUGCUAAGGUAGCAUAAUCAAUUGGCUUUUAAUUGAAGUCUGGAAUGAAGGAAAUAAUGAAAAAAUGCUGUCUUGAAAAUAUUAAUUUUAAUUUAUUUAAAAGGUGAAAAUACCUUUUUUUAAAAAAAAGACGAGAAGACCCUAAGAAUUUUUAAUUAAAAAUUCUAAUUUUAAUUUUUUGUUGGGGCGACAAAUUAGAAUUCUAAACCUAAUUUUUUAAAUAGGCAAAUUUUUUAGGAAAUAAAAAAUUACCUUAGGGAUAACAGCAUAAUAUAAUUUUAUAUGUUUGUGACCUCGAUGUUGGACUAGGAACUUUAUGGCUAGCAGUCAGAAAAGAUUUAUUCUGUUCGAAUAAUUUUAUCCU